rnacentral:rRNA from 1 species
GACGAACGCUGGCGGCGUGCCUAAUACAUGCAAGUCGAGCGGACGAAUCGAAAGCUUGCUUUUGAUUCGUUAGCGGCGGACGGGUGAGUAACACGUGGGCAACCUGCCCUGUAGACGGGGAUAACACCGAGAAAUCGGUGCUAAUACCGGAUAACACGAAAUGUCGCAUGACGUUUCGUUGAAAGACGGCGCAAGCUGUCGCUACAGGAUGGGCCCGCGGCGCAUUAGCUAGUUGGUGAGGUAACGGCUCACCAAGGCGACGAUGCGUAGCCGACCUGAGAGGGUGAUCGGCCACACUGGGACUGAGACACGGCCCAGACUCCUACGGGAGGCAGCAGUAGGGAAUCUUCCGCAAUGGACGAAAGUCUGAUGGAGCAACGCCGCGUGAGCGAAGAAGGCCUUCGGGUCGUAAAGCUCUGUUGUUAGGGAAGAACAAGUAACGCAGUAACUGGCGUUACCGUGACGGUACCUAACGAGAAAGCCACGGCUAACUACGUG